rnacentral:rRNA from 1 species
CCUACGGGUGGCUGCAGUGAGGAAUAUUGGUCAAUGGUCGGAAGCCUGAACCAGCCAAGUAGCGUGCGGGAUGAAGGCCCUACGGGUCGUAAACCGCUUUUGCACGGGGAUAACACCCUCCACUUGUGGUGUUCUGCAGGUACCGUACGAAUAAGGACCGGCUAAUUCCGUGCCAGCAGCCGCGGUAAUACGGAAGGCCCGAGCGUUAUCCGGAUUCAUUGGGCUUAAAGGGAGCGUAGGCGGCAGUUAAAGUGAGCGGGAAAAUCCCGCGGCUCAACCGUGCCCCGCGGGUGAAACUGGGCGGCUUGAGUGCACAGAAGGCAGGCGGAAUUCGUGGUGUAGCGGUGAAAUGCAUAGAUAUCACGAGGAACCCCGAUUGCGAAGGCAGCCUGCCGGGGUGCGACUGACGCUGAGGCUCGAAGGUGCGGGUAUCAAACAGGAUUAGAUACCCGUGUAGUC